rnacentral:miRNA from 1 species
CGUUGUCAUUGUCGUUGUCGUUGUCGUUGUCGUUGUCGUAUAUCGACUAUCGAAUACGACUACGACAACGACAACGACAACAUAAAAC